rnacentral:rRNA from 1 species
AUGACCUUUGGUAAUGAGAAUGAGGUGCGAGAGUAUUAUACCCAGUAUGCUAAAGCAAAAGGCUUUGGUGUGACGAGAAGAAGUUCAAACAGUGAUGAUAAUGGACAAUUGAGGUACCUUACACUUUCCUGCAGCCGUCAUGGUAAGACUCAGUCCAACUCAAGAAAUAUGUUGAAGCCAAAUCCAUCAGCCGGGUUAGGAUGCAAAGCUAAAAUUAAUGUUACUCGUGGUCCUGAUGGGAAGUUGUACCUUUCGAAGGUCAUAUUGGAUCAUAAUCAUGCAUUAAGUCCACUAAAAUCUCGGUUAUUUAGAUGCAACAAAAGGUUAGACUACCAUGUUAAGCGACAGCUUGAGUUGAAUGACAGAGCCGGAAUUCGGGUAAACAAGAACUUCAAUUCUUUUGUUGUGGCAGCAGAUGGUCAUCAUAACCUAACUUUUGGUGAGAAAGAUUCUCGUAAUUUUCUAGAGAAAAUAAGGAGGCUGAAACUUGGCAGUGGUGAUGCUGAAGCGGUUCGUGACUACUUUAUUAAAAUGCAAUCCGACAACCCAAACUUUUUUAGUGUAAUGGAUGUUGAUGAUGAAUCCCGACUUAGGAAUGUAUUUUGGGCUGAUGCCAGAAGUAGGGCAGUGUGUGACUCUUUUCAUGAUGUCAUUACUUUUGAUACGACAUAUUUGAUGAACAAAUAUGAUAUGCCGUUUGCUUGUUUUGUCGGAGUGAAUCAUCAUGGCCAAUCAGUUUUGCUAGGAUGUGCUUUAUUAUCAAAUGAAGAUACUGGAACAUUUGUUUGGUUAUUUCAAGCAUGGCUCACAUGUAUGUCAAAUCGUCAACCAAAAGCAAUUGUCACGGAUCAAGCAAAAGCAAUUCAGAAUGGUGUGGAAGUAGUUUUUCCGGAAUCUCGAUACAGAUGGUGCUUGUGGCACAUAAUGAAAAAGAUACCCGAGAAGCUAGGUGGGUAUGAUGAAUAUGAUCGCAUCAAGGUUGCUGUUGGCAAUGCGGUCUAUGAUUCAUUAACAGUUGCAGAGUUUGAAGUUGCUUGGAUGCAUAUGAUUGAGAAGUAUGAUCUUGGUGAUAAUGAAUGGCUUAAAGGGCUUUACAACUAUCGACACCGUUGGGUUCCAGCAUUUGUGAAAGAUGCCUUUUGGGCAGGUAUGUCUACUACACAACGUAGUGAGAGUAUGAAUGCCUUCUUUGAUGGAUAUGUUAAUGCAAAAACUACAUUGAAGCAUUUUGUUAGCCAAUAUGAGAAUGCUCUUCGUGAUAAAGUUGAGAAGGAGAAUGUUGCUGAUUUCAAUUCUUUCAAUUCAACCAUACCUUGUAUCACACGCUUUGACAUUGAGAAGCAAUUUCAGUCAAUCUAUACAAAUUCAAAGUUCAAAGAAUUUCAAGAAGAGCUAACAGAUAUUAUGUAUUGUGAUCGGAAGUUUAUACAAAAAGAAGGGGCAAUAGAAACAUAUGAAAUAACCGAGGAUGUGCUAAUUGACGAAGAAAAAGGAUGGAGAAAGGAUAUUCUGUACCAUGUAUAUUUCAAUGAGGAAGAAUUCGAAGUUAAGUGUUCAUGUCGCCGCUUUGAGUUCAGAGGUAUUCUCUGUAGGCAUGUGUUGUGUGUGCUUACUCAAAAGAAAAUCAAGGAGGUUCCUCCACAAUACAUCCUUGCUCGGUGGAAAAAAAAUGUGAAAAGAAAACAUAACUUUAUCAGAUGCACAUACGGGGGGAUGGAAGACAGUCCUAUUGCCAAACGCUUUGAUAGCUUGUGCAAUUCUUUCUACCCAGUUGCAGAGAUAGGUGCCAUGUCGGAUGAUGCACACAAUUCCUUGAUCGAAGAUCUUCGCACCUUGAAAAUUAAGUACAGCAGCAACUCAAGUUCUGAAAAUAACAAUGAUAAGGUUGGUACACAGGAAGAUUCACCUUCCAAUGGGAAGGCAACAGGUAAAACUAUACUGAGUCCAAUAGCUGUUAGAUGUGCUGGGCGCCCUCCUUCGGUGAGAAAAGAAUCUAAGGUUGAUAAGCUUAUUCGCCAAGCAAACGAAAAGAAGAAGAAAAAAGAACAAAUGGAGAAGAAAAAGGCUGCAAUAAAGGAGAAGAAGGAAGCUGAAAAAGAGGUAUCAUUUCGAAUAUUACAUUUUUCAGUUGUGAAAAAGAAGACCUAA